rnacentral:lncRNA from 1 species
CAUCUCGUUUAACUCUUCAGUCUGAGUGUUAUAUUUGCCCGUGUACGUCUUCAUUAAAGGUGGUGAUUUAAAGCACAGGUGCGUUUGUGGGCGGAGCUUGAUGGACCGCCCACCAAGGGAAAGGGGAGGAGCCGGAAGCGCGCUUUGACAAUCUUGGGACACCAGCGAUGCAGGCCAAUAUAUGCUGCCUCUCUCGUGAGGAAGAGGAGUGCCUCAACUUCCUCGAUAACACCAUCGGCUCUCUGGACGAGUCGAGCCUGGUCCACAAAAACCUGGCUCUUGGCAGCAUUAGAAGUCGUGAGGAUACGGUGGACCUGCUAACUAAUGCAGUGCAACAAAAUGAUGGGGCUGAUGUUGCUGCUGUAUUUACCAGCACGAAACAUCUAUCAGAAGCAGAACCUGUGGAGCACACCUUGUCAGACUCAUCAUCUCAACAGAGCAGCGAAGGAUCAUUGACUUCAGCUUUCGAAAAUAACAGAACCACGCACCCAGCACAACAGCAGCAACGGGUGAUGGAUACACAACUCUUUGGACCCGGAUCGAUGCCUGGAGCAAACGCUGAAGCACUCACUGUUUCAACAAUGAUAGAGAACGGGAGCCAAAUUUCUCCAGAUGAGCUAUCUCUGGAAAACAAGGAGGAAGCUGGAGUUAGUAGAGAUGAGCAAGGACGAGGCAGUGAGAGUGAUUGGCCUUCACAUUCACCUGCAGAGAACUUUCAUUCUCCAUCGGAUCCCAAGGAGCUUCAUAUCUGCGGUGCCGGUCGAAUUCCUGGGCGCAUUGGUCCUGCACAAACGAAGAACUUCGAUACAAUCAUGAAAGCUGGAGUAAAUGUGCAGAAACGGAGGGCAGUGAUGCUGGAUCUUCUCAACCACCACAAUAACAACAACAACAACAACAACAACAGCAAUGAUAGUGAUUCAGGCUUGGGUCUCAGCCCAAGGGAUCAGAAUCUUUUUGUUCCCUCUUUUUCAACUUCUGUCCCCGUGACCGAGCAACCUUUUGUGAUUAAAGGUGAUGUCAGAAGUUUUGAGAGAUCUGAGUUUCGAGACAAAAGGGACUCCAAUUCAGUCUCUCAGCCACCAUCUCGGUCAGGCUCUUUGGUUGAAGCUCCAACCAAUAUGUGGCCAAUCUCUCGCUCAUGCUCCGAGCGCCGUAUCAUGUUGAAUGGGAAAACGAUCGCCAAAUAUCCAUCUUUCGAAGAUGAAAUGAAAAAAAGUGUUUGUGCACUUCAAAAGCCUGUCACUCAACAAAUAACAUUUGUAGGGCCAGGACAUUGGAAGAUUAUUGCACCAAAAAGUUAACUUCCCUCGAGUCAUGAUGAAAGAUGAAAAGCUCAACUUGCUGCAAGCCAUCUUUAUGUUUUUAAAAGUAUUUUUCUCAUUGUUUGUAUACUAUGUAUAGAUAUCUGUGCCAUUUGGAACUGUGCUUUACUGCCAAUUGGUUGUAGUUUUGGUACCUAUUUAGGAUGGUCGUCCAUGCUUUAUCAACGUUAUUCAUGGAGUACAAUUUCUGUCUCGACAGUACCAUUUCCUACUGGUUUCAGCUUUCUUUUUCUUAAAAAAAAAAAAAAAAUCUAAUGUUUAACCCAUCACUUCUCCUUCAUGAGUUUCUAAUCAUAACUUAUUCUAUGAGUCGACGAAUGACAUUAUUACCCCCAUUAUGAAACUACCAAUGAUUACGAACCAGAAGGAGUGGCACUAAAAGUUUCGCAAGUCGCCUUGGAUACCCUAGAGGAAACGAGAUAAAGAUUACAAAUGUUUACGAACACUAUAAACUGCUACAGUAUGAGCUAUGCAUGUCAUAUAUGACACAAUGACAUGCAAGUCUCAAUUGCCUAUUUGAAGGGGGGGUUUUAGCAUUUACAUUAUCUUCAGCUAUAUUUAUAAAUUAAUCUUUCAUGUGAACUUUGCAAUGGCCAUGACACUGAGUCACGAGCUUUGAUAAUGACUUAACCUGCAGUACGAGCCAAACUUGUUUAAGGAAAAAUGAAACAUGUUUGGUAUGCUUACUUUGUUCCUUAUUGUAGUGGCAGCAUUAUGCUAUAAUCACCUCUUUGCUGUAAUACAUUUUUCCAUAAUGCUUCGUUGUAAUAAUAUUUUAUUUUUGUUGUGCUUAUGAAAUAAAACAUCGACUCGAAUUGGUGUGUGUUUACGCCGUAUGUACGUAUGUUUCACGGGUUCUACGGGUCGUUGUCGGGGAAAUAAUUCCCUAUAGUGUGUGGACCCCCCCCCCCC